rnacentral:rRNA from 1 species
AGCAGCCGCGGUAAUUCCAGCUCCAAUAGCGUAUAUUAAAGUUGUUGCAGUUAAAAAGCUCGUAGUUGAAUUUCGGGGUUAGUAGGUUGGUCAUGCCACAGGUAUGUACUGAUCUUACUGAUUCCUCCUUCCUGAUGAACCGUAAUGCCAUUAAUUUGGUGUUGCGGGGAGACUGGACUGUUACUUUAGAAAAAAUUAGAGUGUUUAAAGCAGGCUAACGCUUGAAUACAUUAGCAUGGAAUAAUAGAAAUAGGACGUUCGAUCCUAUUUUGUUGGUUUCUAGGAUUGACGUAAUGAUUAAUAGGGAUAGUUGGGGGCAGUUAGUAUUCAAUUGUCAGAGGUGAAAUUCUUGGAUUUAUUGAAGACUAACUACUGCGAAAGCAUUUGCCAAGGAUGUUUUCAUUAAUCAAAGAACGAAAGUUAGGGGAUCGAAGACGAUCAGAUACCGUCGUAGUCUUAAACCAUAAACUAUGCCGACUAGGGAUCGGAUGAUGUUAAUUUUUAAUGACUCAUUCGGCGU